rnacentral:rRNA from 1 species
GACGAACGCUGGCGGCGUGCUUAACACAUGCAAGUCGAACGAUGAAGUUCCUUCGGGAAUGGAUUAGUGGCGAACGGGUGAGGAACACGUGAGAAACCUGCCUUUCAUUUUGGGAUAACUCCGGGAAACCGGGGCUAAAACCGAAUACUCCGUCUCGGCGGCAUCGCUGAGCCGGGAAAAAAUUUUGAUGAAAGAUGGUCUCGCGGCCUAUCAGCUAGUUGGUGAGGUAAUGGCUCACCAAGGCAACGACGGGUACCCGGCCUGAGAGGGCGACCGGCCACACUGGGACUGAGACACGGCCCAGGAUCCUACGGGAGGCUGCAGUGGGGAAUAUUUGGCAAUGGGCGCAAGCCUGACCCAGCGACGCCGAGUGAGGGAUGAAGGCCUUCGGGUUGUAAACCUCUUUCAGUAGGGAAGAAGCGAAAGUGACGGUACCUAAAGAAGAAGCACCGGCUAACUAUGUGCCAGCAGCCGCAGUAA